CACAAUAAGUAUUCCACCUGGGGAGUACGACCGCAAGGUUGAAACUCAAAGGAUUGACGGGGGCCCGCACAAGCAGUGGAUUAUGUGGUUUAAUUCGACGCAACGCGAAGAACUUACCAGGGUUUGACAUCCAACUAACGAAGUAGAGAUACAUUAGGUGCCCUUCGGGGAAAUUGAGACAGGUGGUGCAUGGUUGUCGUCAGCUCGUGUCGUGAGAUGUUGGGUUAAGUCCCCAACGAGCGCAACCCCUAUUGUUAGUUGCUACGCAAGAGCACUCUAGCAAGACUGCCGUUACAAAACGGAGGAAGGCGGGGACGACGUCAAAUCAUCAUGCCCCUUAUAUCCUGGGCUACCACGUAAUACAAUGGCCGUCAACAAAGGGAAGCAAUACCGCGAGGUGGAGCAAAUCCCCAAAACGGUCUCAGUUCGGAUUGUGGGCUGAAACCCGCCCACAUGAAGUUGGAAUUGCUAGUAUCGCGGAUCAGCAUGCCGCGGUGAAUACGUUCCCGGGCCUUGCACACACCGCCCGUAAG
rnacentral:rRNA from 1 species